UUUAAUGAUCUUUCUUGUAGAAUGUGAGUGUGAGUCUGAUGGAAUAACAAAGUUGACGAGUGUGAUCCUGGCUGGUCUGACUGUUUUCCUUGUAAUGGUCAUCAUUGGUCUGCUGGUUAAAAUCAGGAAACUUAAGACAGCUGAAGAAGAACAGAAUCCACAACCAAGUGAGAAUCAGGCCUCUGAUGAGCUGAACUACGCUGCAGUCACAUUUCAAGCAAAAGCAAAAAGAAAGGUGGUGGAGCCAAAUGUAGUGUAUGCUGCCACCAGAUAGACUCAGGAAACAACUGGAAAUGAUGCUUCAUCAUAUUAAUCUGC